ensembl:lncRNA
GUGAUAAAUUGCUACAGGGUGUCCCGCUGUGUGGCUAAAACAGAGGGUCACCCUUGGGUGUAAGGCAUUGUUCACCUCCCCACUUGACUGAGUUUUUCUUCUAUUUUUUUUAUUGAGAUCUCGAACUAUGUUUUGAUUAGAAGACAAACCUUAACCUUUUUCUGUGGAAACGCAAAUCUGCAAAGGUGCAAGGCUCAGAACAAAAUUGUUCAAAAUAUUAUCUGGACAUUCUGUAUUUCCCGGGAGGCUAACAUUCGGAACGUGGGACAGAAUUGAGAACUCUGUGACUCAGAGCUGGAGUCCUGAGGGCUGAUGUCACACAGCCUGCGUCCUGCUGAGUCUGAGGGGCCCGGCGGGGGCUUGUCCAUUCUCGAGCUCUGGCCGAAGACGGCGCUUCUGAGAGUCAGGUCUCCAAACCUGCACGCCAGCUCUCCCUAAGAGGACAGCAAGCUCCCUCUCCGGGGUCAGAGGGGUGAGGAAUGUGUUAUUGAAGGGUCUUGUUCCCUAAAAUUAUUAUUAUUUUUUUUUUACCGUAUUGUGCCAUUGGCCUCAGGCAGCUCAGGACGGCUGGACUCGAAGCGUGCUCACCGUUUGGACUGUGUGCGUUUCUCUCGGAGCAAUCUUCUCCCCUGUUAUUGCUAAGCCUCUGAGAGGACUGGCUUCUCAAGGCUCAGAGAGUUUGAUUAACCCAAUUGCUUAUUCCAGGUGGGCGCUUGGCGUCAAGAUGAUUAAGAUGAUUGAUUUAGAGACUAUGAUUGCCAUUGGCGGCGGCUUACUGAUCGCGGCCUUUCUGGGGAUGUGCUGUGUCAUCUGUCUUUACUGCAAAGUGGCCAACACAUUGAAGUGAAUGACGAAAAUAUGACAGCCAGCGGCAUCGACACAAAAGGCAGGCGCCUCGGUUUGGAAGAAGGCCGUCCUGGGACAGCCACCUCCUCGCCCUCCGCUGCCAGGCACCUAAGGACAAGCUUCCGAGAGCCGCGCGGUGCCGAGUGUCGUCAAAAGAGGGGUGUUCUCGGGCCCCUGAGGGCAGGAGCGGUGCUAGCUCUGAUCCCAGGCACGAGAGAGGGCCUGGAGCUCAUCAGGUGUCGGGCAGUGACUCCAAUCACAGCUUCGCAGUGCGGGCACCCUCUCCACCAGGUGGACCUCGGAACGCACAGCAGUAACCUUGUGAACAAUGCUGAACAAUGUUAUUUUGCUUAUUGAUAGGAAUGUGUUGCACAGUGCUUAUUAAUCACACACACUAAGCUCUUGCUCCUGCUCCAGGGUGUUGUAGAAGCACUUUCCUGAGUUGCAGUGGAAACAUCCAGGAGGCAACAGUUCAAACCUAUCAGCAGGUGGGGAAACUGAAGCUCAGAGGGCAGGAGUGACUCUCCUGGUGUCCGGCAGCAAGUCAGUGAUAGGGAGCCUGGGGCCUGGCUCUGAGCGUUUUACUUACAACCCCUCCUGCUUGGUGCCAUGCCCCAUCCGCUUCCGGAGCUUCCUGACCCCCCUGGACGGUUAACUUGCUCCCUAACCCCAGCAAAGAAGUCCAGGCGCCAACCAUUCUGGAAGGGCUGGUGGCCGUCCUUGCCCUAUUGAUACCUGCAUGGGGGCACGUGCAUGGUGACGCUGCAGGAGUGUGGGGGUGAUGGGAGCUAGGGGCUGCGUAGCACAGAGGGGAAGAGGGGGCAGCUGAUGGUUCAGAAGCAGUGAGGUAGUGUUGUGGUAUCAUCUGGGUUACAAAGGGCUUGUUUCAGUCUGAAUGGAAAAUUCUGUGAUUCACACUCACCAGGCCUGUCACCAGGUUAGUUAUGAGACUGAGUGCCCAGCCUGCGACUAACAUCAGGAUCAGAGGUGUUCGUUAUCCUUUUCCCCCAGCCUCUGCCCAAACACCCCAAAUCCUACAAAAACUGCAUCUCUGUUGGCAGAAAGUAGCCCAGCUCCCUGACCACGUGAGCCUCUGAGCCACCCAUGACCAGCCGGGUUCCAUCUCUGUGCCCGGCAGACAGCCUCUUCCUCCGAGUCUAGUCUGCCUCCGGACCGCCAGGUGCUGGAGCUCCAGAUGAAGGCCUGGGGCCCUGGGGGACCCCACUACGUGGAGGGUCGGUCUGACACUCCUGUGUGAACACCCGUGUCUACAGCUCCUGCAACUGAGUCAGCCCGUCUAGAUCUGACUCCUGACUAACCUGUGAGUGGCAUUUAAUUCUAAGGCUAAUUUUCCUUGCAAAACGGACCCGCCUGGUAGGGCUGUUUUGAGGAUUCAAUGAGAUGUUAAAGAGAAUCGUUUGUCACUAAACAUUAAUCCAGAGAGAGGAUAAAAGAUAUGACUUUCUCCUCUUAGUAAGGACUGGGCAUAUCUUGUAAGCAGGACAGAUCUUACCAACAAGACUGAAAGAACAAUUGCCAGGGCAAAUACAUUUCUGCAGCUUUUAUAGUUUUUAUCAGUAUUUUUUGAAAAUAAGAAUUCUGCUGCUAAGGACAUGAAAGUCUUUUUGUUUCAGUUGCUUUUGAAACAUUUCACAAUUAUACAAAUCAUAAAUCUAUAGAUGAUAUGAAGAUUCAGUUUAAAAUUGCACUGUUGAUAAGAUUCAGUAGUAAGUAUAUAAGGAGCUUAUAGUGUCCAAAAAUUUUUCUUAAGGAAGUAUUUUAUUCAAACCUUGAAAAAGUUUAUCUUGUUGAUGUUUAGUUUACCAAUUCAACUUGAUUAUUUUAUUACUUAGGAUUACAUUUGAUUGUAACAGAAAACCUCAAAAUAAUGGUGGCUUAAACAGGAUAGAAGUUGAUAUUCUCUUGCAUUUAAGAAGUCCAGAGUUGGGCUAGUUUAGUGCCCUACAAUCUUGUUCUACUAAGCUUCCUUUCCCAAGGUCAUGUCGGGGCCCAAAAGGGCUGCUGGAGCUGUACUCUUGUAUCUGCAUUCCAGGAAACAAGGAGGAAGGGACCAAAGGUGCCUAUUUCACUUCUGUUUACCUCCCCUGGACCACAGCUUAAUCACAUGGCCAUGCCUACCUGCAAGGAAGCUGGAGAAGGUAGUUCUUAUUCCAGCCGGCCCUGUACCCACCUCAAUGUCGAGGGUCUUUGUUCCAGGGUAACAGAUAUUGAGGCCAACUAGCCAACCUUACCUUGGACAUCUUUCUCCCUUAGAAUUUUUAGUAAAAUGGUUUCUUGUUUUUCUGAAAACCCACAACACAAUGUUUUUAUUUUGUUACCUUCCAUUCACAUCUAAUGUAAUACUUGGCAUGGGCUAUUAUUUUAACCCACUGAGUUACCUACACGUAACUGAGUUAAAGCCCCUGAAACUUGGAACAGCGCCUGAGAAAGUGUCCCGUAACCAUGAGCCUCGGCUAAAGGUCCAGAGGAAACCCCUUCACGGCUCAGCGCUGACCCACCGGCCCGCGGCCCAGCCUCUGGUUUGGCUCUUAGAUUCCUGCAUGACACUUUGCUCCCUCCCUUUGCAAAGACUUUCCUUCACCAGCUCUCCCCAGCACGGGAGCUGGUUGGGGUGGGUGCACAGGAGCCCAUGUGAAGAGGGGACGGAGGCCCCAGGAUUUGGCAGGCCUUCUGCACACCUCUGUUGAAUGUCUUCUCCCAACUCUGUCCUCUCCCACCCCACAUUCUGUCCCUUCCGAUCCUCAGGAAGGACACAGGGAGGUUGGUCAUCAGCCCCCGGCUGGGCCGUCACUCCACCUAGAACUUGGGGCAUCUUAUCAGGGUGUCGUGUGGGACUCCUGCCUCGUCCCCUGCUCCCCACUGCUACACUGGACCUGGGAGACAGCCUGCACAUCCACAACCCAAAAGCUAAACUUCCCCAAGCUGGACCUGCCCCCGGUGGGCUCCUCCUUAUGCGGGCUUUCCAUUCACUCUCUUCCAGCCACAGACCAC